rnacentral:rRNA from 1 species
CAUCCUUGGGAUACCACCCUUGUAGUACUGGGACUCUAACCAUAGGCCAUGAAUCUGGUCUUGGGACACUGUCAGGUGGGCAGUUUGACUGGGGCGGUCGCCUCCCAAAAGGUAACGGAGGCGCUCAAAGGUUCUCUCAGUACGGUCGGAAAUCGUACGUAGAGUGUAAAGGCAAAAGAGAGCUUGAUUGCAAGACAUACAGGUCGAGCAAGGAUGAAAAUCGGACUUAGUGAUCCGGUGGUUCUGCGUGGAAGGGCCAUCGCUCAACGGAUAAAAGCUACCCUGGGGAUAACAGGCUUAUCUCCCCCAAGAGUCCACAUCGACGGGGAGGUUUGGCACCUCGAUGUCGGCUCAUCACAUCCUGGGGCUGUAGUAGGUCCCAAGGGUUGGGCUGUUCGCCCAUUAAAGUGGUACGCGAGCUGGGUUCAGAACGUCGUGAGACAGUUCGGUCCCUAUCCGUCGCAGGCGUAGGAAAUUUGAGAAGACCUGU